GGCAUGUAGCUCAGUGGUAGAGCGCCCGCUUCGCGUGCGGGAAGCCCAGGGUUCGAACCCCUGCCUGUCC
rnacentral:ncRNA from 16 species